rnacentral:lncRNA from 1 species
UCUCUCUCAAAUGCUAGUUAAAGAACAAGUCUGAAUACCACCGAUUCUUCUUGCAGACAGACUCUACAAAUUUCUGUUUGAGUGAAGAACAUCGUAUCUCCCUUGUGGAAUUGCAACUGCUGGGCCAGUGUGACUUCCUGAGAGCCAUGGGUUCAUUCAGUUCUGUCAUGAGAAAAACAGAAAAUUUCUAGCAGUGGGGCAGCCUACCAAAUAUUUGAUCAGUACUCCUCAAAGCUACCCAGGUCAUCAAAAACAAGAGACAUCUGAGAAAAAGCCACAGUCCAGAAGAACCUAAGAAUUCAUCCAUGGAUCAACUGUUGCUAUUCCAUUACGAUAACCAUUUCUUGGCUGAGGAAGAGCCACACCCUUGAAACAAAACAAAACACACCCAGAACAAACCAUACAACCAUCUUUAACCUAGCUUUUUAUAGAAUGUCUCAGUUCCUUGUAACUUUGCACACAAGUUCUUGUGUUGAAUUGAACUGUAACUGAUUUUAUAUUUGGAGAAAGCAAUUUUGAAACCUUUAAAGAGAAAAAAAGUGGGAGCAAAAU